rnacentral:rRNA from 1 species
AGUGAACGCUGGCGGUAGGCCUAACACAUGCAAGUCGAACGGCAGCACAGUAAGAGCUUGCUCUUACGGGUGGCGAGUGGCGGACGGGUAAGGAAUACAUCGGAAUCUACUUUUUCGUGGGGGAUAACGAAGGGAAACUUACGCUAAUACCGCAUACGACCUACGGGUGAAAGCAGGGGAUCUUCGGACCUUGCGCGAUUGAAUGAGCCGAUGUCGGAUUAGCUAGUUGGCGGGGUAAAGGCCCACCAAGGCGACGAUCCGUAGCUGGUCUGAGAGGAUGAUCAGCCACACUGGAACUGAGACACGGUCCAGACUCCUACGGGAGGCAGCAGUGGGGAAUAUUGGACAAUGGGCGCAAGCCUGAUCCAGCCAUACCGCGUGGGUGAAGAAGGCCUUCGGGUUGUAAAGCCCUUUUGUUGGGAAAGAAAAGCAGCAGGUUAAUACCCCGCUGUUCUGACGGUACCCAAAGAAUAAGCACCGGCUAACUUCGUG